GACGAACGCUGGCGGCGCGCCUAACACAUGCGAGUCGAACGGAGCUGAGAGAAGCUUGCUUUUCUUAGCUUAGUGGCGAACGGGUGAGUAACGCGUGAGUAACCUGCCCUGGAGUGGGGGACAACAGUUGGAAACGACUGCUAAUACCGCAUAAGCCCACGAUCCGGCAUCGGAUUGAGGGAAAAGGAUUUAUUCGCUUCAGGAUGGACUCGCGUCCAAUUAGCUAGUUGGUGAGGUAACGGCCCACCAAGGCGACGAUUGGUAGCCGGACUGAGAGGUUGAACGGCCACAUUGGGACUGAGACACGGCCCAGACUCCUACGGGAGGCAGCAGUGGGGGAUAUUGCACAAUGGGGGAAACCCUGAUGCAGCGACGCCGCGUGGAGGAAGAAGGUUUUCGGAUUGUAAACUCCUGUCGUGAGGGACGAUAAUGACGGUACCUAACAAGAAAGCACCGGCUAACUACGUG
rnacentral:rRNA from 1 species